rnacentral:rRNA from 1 species
GAGUGGUUGGGACGAUUAUUGGGCCUAAAGCAUCCGUAGCCUGUUUGUAGGUCUCAUGUAAAUCCAUUCGCUCAACGAAUGGUCUGCAUGAGAUACCGCAUACUAGGAGGCGGGAGACGUGAACGGUAUUCCAUGGGUAGGGGUAAAAUCCUCUGAACCAUGGAAGACCACCAGUGGCGAAGGCGGUUCACGAGAACGCGCUCGACGGUGAGGGAUGAAAGCUGGGGUAGCGAACCGGAUUAGAUACCCGGGUAGUCCCAGCUGUAAACGAUGCAAGCUAGGUGAUGGAUUAGCCAUGUGUUAAUCCAGUGCCGCAGGGAAGCCGUUAAGCUUGCCGCCUGGGGAGUACGGUCGCAAGGCUGAAACUUAAAGGAAUUGGCGGGGGAGCACCACAAGGGGUGAAGCCUGCGGUUCAAUUGGAGUCAACGCCGGGAACCUUACCAGGAGAGACAGCAGGGUGAAGGUCAAGCUGAAGACUUUACCAGACAAGCUGAGAGGAGGCGCAUGGCCGUCGACAGCUCGUGCCGUGAGGCGUCCUGUUAGGUCAGGCAACGAGCGAGACCCUUAUCAUUAAUUGCUACCAUCGAUCGCAAGGUUGGCGGAGCUAAUUAACGGGACUGCCGUCGAUAAGACGGAGGAAGGAAGGGGCCACGGCAGGUCAGUAUGCCCCGAAACUCUUGGGCCACACGCGGGCUGCAAUGGUAGGAACAAUAGGCACCAACUUCGAAAGGAGGAGGCAAUCCCUAAAUCCUACCCCAGUUGUGAUUGAGGGCUGCAACUCGCCCUCAUGAAUCUGGAAUCCCUAGUAAUCGCGUGUCAACAUCGCGCGGUGAUAACUG